rnacentral:lncRNA from 1 species
AUCUAAUCAAAUCCGGUUCAGGUUCAGCUACUUGUGUCGAUUUUUUCACCUGCCGAACUUUCUCAAGUUCGACCUUAGAGGCAACAGUCCCUUCACCAAGGAACUCCUUUUCUAAAAAGAUUACUUUAAGGCUGACAAACACCUUUUGCUCAUCAGCUAGGUAGAAAUAAUACCCUUUGGUCUCUUUUGGAUACCCUAUGAAAUUACACUUGUCA